CUAACCGUAAACGAUGACAACCAGCGAUUAAUCGGCGUUAAUAUAUGACCCGAUUAGCAGCUUCCGGGAAACCAAAGUUUUUCGUUUCCGGGGGAAGUAUGGUUGCAAAGCUGAAACUUAAAGGAAUUGACGGAAGGGCACCACCAGGAGUGGAGCCUGCGGCUUAAUUUGACUCAACACGGGAAAACUCACCCGGCCCGGACACCGUAAGGAUUGACAGACUGAGAGCUCUUUCUUAAUUCGGUGGGUGGUGGUGCAUGGCCGUUCUUAGUUGGUGGAGCGAUUUGUCUGGUUAAUUCCGAUAACGAACGAGACUCUGGCCUAUUAAAUAGACGAUAUAUUUAAAAGUAUAUCGCGCUUCUUAGAGGGACAAGCGGCGUCUAGCCGCAUGCAAAUAGAGCAAUAACAGGUCUGUGAUGCCCUUAGAUGUCCGGGGCUGCACGCGCGCUACACUGAAAGAAUCAGUGUGCGUUACGCCUAGUUCGGAAGAACCGGGUAACCCAAGUAAAUUCUUUCGUGCUUGGGAUAGGGAAUUGCAAUUAUUUCCCUUAAACGAGGAAUUCCCAGUAAAUGCGGGUCAUAAGCUCGCGUUG
rnacentral:rRNA from 1 species